CUCUCCCGAGCCAUUCCUGCAAGUGGUUCUGUGACUCAGGAGCUGACAACAUCCGCGUGCAAAGGAACAAAGAAGGAGAGUGACAAUUCAGAGUGCACGCAGAUAGUCUUCCUUUGGUCACAAGAUGACAGUGAGAAUGGAUUGUCAAACUGGACCACUAUGACAAUUUACUCUGGGGGAGAAAAUCCUGUGGGUGUUUAGAAGCUUUACUGGAGAAGCACAUCCCACCUCACACAGUCUGUCUUUCUCUCCUUCUGUCAUCCUUGGGAAUGGAGGGAUUUUCCUUAUCCUGUAAAAUGGUGAUUGAGGAUUGCCUUAUGGGGAUCAGAGGGGCAUUUCCCCUGGGAUUGCCAGGCAACGGCUCAGGCCUGAUGAGUAUUUGUUCCUCCUGUCAUCCAUUCUGAAGAGCAUAAUCCCAAAGAAAUCAGGAGGGAGUUUUAAUAUGGACUUUGAAGGUUAGAUAUGCCUAAGAAC